GUGUGGAGUGGCGGAAUUGGCAGACGCGCGAUUCAGGUUCUAGUGCCCGAAAGGGCUUAUGGGUUCAAGUCCCGUCUCCCGCACCA
rnacentral:tRNA from 1 species